ensembl:lncRNA
GGAGCAUCAUUGUUUAUUUAAUAAGAUAGAAACAGCACUUACACUAUUCAUUUCUCAAAUAGCACAUAGUGUUAUUGGCAGUAUAUAUUGGCAGCUUAAUUAAGAAGUCUGUUGAUGAUGUCAAAAAAGAAAAGCUGGUUCAUUUUCUAUUCAGAUGGACACUACUCAAGACAAAGACAUGUCUAUUGUUGGCUCAUACAUACUAAUAUGUGUCACAGAUACUACAUAAAAUGUCUAGUGGCUACAGUCAUGUCAAUAUCAUAACACUGGAAAAAUUAUCACUUACACUUAUUUUCAGCUCAGAAAUAAAUCUUUAGAAAAACUGCAAAGUCACCCAAUUUAUGGAACAAAAAGAACAAUGCAAUGAAUACUGAAAAAAUUAUUUAGUCAUAUUUCAUACAGAAUCAUUGCCCAGAUGUGUUUUGCCCCCUCCCUGUGCAAUGCUGAGCCCAUGAGUGUCACCCCCAAGAUGGCACAAGAUCCUCCUCUUCUAGCUAAUCACUCACUCCAAAUGGUGGGGCCCAGGGCUUGGAAAGUAGAUCCCCACAGACAGCAGGUGUGAUUCACCUUCCUACCCCCAAGGAAUAUACAAUCAAUAUAUUUUCCAGCAGACAACCUACACCUAAAGGAAAAAAACUGGAAUUCAAUGCAAACUAACUCAAACUAUAUUAUAUUACUGUCUCGAAAACCUAUUAAAUAUUUAUGGGAUCAAUAAAAGGGAUCCUAUCUCAGCACCACAAAAAUAAUACAAAAUACAAUGGAUCGUAUCUCUCAGAACUUGAAGAACAAGAACAAAAAUAGAAUUUUAAAAAGCCCCAGUUGUUCACAGUACAGGUUUGCUGUUGUUGUUGUUGUUGUUGUGUUUUAUUUUUCAUUAAUGGGGCUUAAAAUACAGAACACUUUUCUGUUCAUUUGUUUUUUGUCUUAGGGACAUACCUAAUUACAAACAAAAGAACACAAUAUGCAUCCUGAAACUAAUAGUAAAUUCAUUAAAAGCAAGCUCCACAUGUUUUUGUCUCACUCAUUUUCUCUCCCUUAUUUUGUGCACUGAUUCACACAUAAUAAGUACUCAAUUAAGUUGAAAGGCAAUGCAUGUUUCAAUUCACAUUAAUUUGGAGGGGUUGCACUGAUUUAAGGAGCAGCGGAGACAAGGAGGGUGGGUUUAAUCUUUGCUGAUUUCAGGCUGUUAAGCACAGCUGUCUCGAAGCCGUGCUCCCUGAAGCUGGUGGAAUGCACCAUCAUGGCAUUCGCCAUGUCUUCAUCUGUUUCCAUUUUUGCAAUAGGUAAUGAGGUGAUCCUCGAACCGGGUAUUUCCAACAAUAAAACAUGAAAGGUGAUUUGAAGCAGGUAAUCAAGGGGUAUCUGCCCCUUCCUAGAGGCAGUACUUCUGUGAACAAAAU